rnacentral:rRNA from 1 species
CACUCCUGCGGGAGGCAGCAGUGGGGAAUUUUGGACAAUGGGCGAAAGCCUGAUCCAGCAAUGCCGCGUGAGUGAAGAAGGCCUUCGGGUUGUAAAGCUCUUUUGUCAGGGAAGAAACGGUGAGAGCUAAUAUCUCUUGCUAAUGACGGUACCUGAAGAAUAAGCACCGGCUAACUACGUGCCAGCAGCCGCGGUAAUACGUAGGGUGCAAGCGUUAAUCGGAAUUACUGGGCGUAAAGCGUGCGCAGGCGGUUUUGUAAGUCUGAUGUGAAAUCCCCGGGCUCAACCUGGGAAUUGCAUUGGAGACUGCAAGGCUAGAAUCUGGCAGAGGGGGGUAGAAUUCCACGUGUAGCAGUGAAAUGCGUAGAUAUGUGGAGGAACACCGAUGGCGAAGGCAGCCCCCUGGGUCAAGAUUGACGCUCAUGCACGAAAGCGUGGGGAGCAAACAGGAUUAGAAACCCUAGUAGUCCCA